GCUCUCUUCGGAGGGAGUGGCGCACGGGUGAGUAACACGUGGGAACCUACCCUGAGGUGCGGAAUAACCGUUGGAAACGACGGCUAAUACCGCAUAUCCCCUGCGGGGGAAAGAUUUAUCGCCUUGGGAUGGGCCCGCGGUCGAUUAGCUAGUUGGUGUGGUAAUGGCGCACCAAGGCGACGAUCGAUAGCUGGUCUGAGAGGAUGACCAGCCACACUGGGACUGAGACACGGCCCAGACUCCUACGGGAGGCAGCAGUGGGGAAUAUUGGACAAUGGGCGCAAGCCUGAUCCAGCCAUGCCGCGUGAGUGAUGAAGGCCUUCGGGUUGUAAAGCUCUUUCAGGUGGGACGAUGAUGACGGUACCACCAGAAGAAGCCCCGGCUAACUUCGUGCCAGCAGCCGCGGUAAUACGAAGGGGGCUAGCGUUGUUCGGAUUUACUGGGCGUAAAGCGCGCGUAGGCGGUCCUGCCAGUCAGAGGUGAAAGCCCAGGGCUCAACCCUGGAACGGCCUUUGAUACUGCAGGACUUGAGUUCGGGAGAGGGGCAUGGAAUUCCCAGUGUAGAGGUGAAAUUCGUA
rnacentral:rRNA from 1 species